GAGAUACCAAAGUGAGGCCUGGAACGCAUCUAGAAUGAGGCUUGGAAUGCAUCACAUGACCCGAAGGCCCUGCGACACCAUGGAAACAACAUUUUUGUGAUCAGCUGUCACCAUCAGAGGGCGCUGCUGCUGUCCACACAACUGUCCUCCAGCGGCCACUACAGGUGAUGUCCCAGAAGCAUGGAGGACUGCAGAAGUGCUAUGCCCUGCGGGCUGCUGUCAGGAGAGAGAUGGCACACAGCGGGCGAUCUUCUCACUCGGGGAGCGUUCCCACAGACCAGAUUUCAAUGUUUAUUCAUUUAGAAAAAAAAAAGGAAAAGGCUUUUAAAGCUCUCAGUCUUGGGGAGCUUCACUUUUAUUUCACAAUAUGGUGCAGCUUUCCUGAUGUUCAGCUCCAGCCCUGGUGUAUAAUUAAAAGUUAAUGGCCGUGUAUUAGGAGUUAUGCUUUGUGAUAUAAAACCAGUAAAACCUUACGCCAUUUCUUUUUCUUUCUUAUCUUUAUUUUACC